rnacentral:rRNA from 1 species
AUUGAACGCUGGCGGCAGGCCUAACACAUGCAAGUCGAGCGGGGUUUUCGGACCUAGCGGCGGACGGGUGAGUAAUGCGUAGGAAGCUACCCGAUAGAGGGGGAUACCAGUUGGAAACGACUGUUAAUACCGCAUAAUGUCUACGGACCAAAGUGUGGGACCUUCGGGCCACAUGCUAUCGGAUGCGCCUGCGUGGGAUUAGCUAGUUGGGGGGGUAAUGGCUCACCAAGGCGACGAUCCCUAGCUGGUUUGAGAGGAUGAUCAGCCACACUGGAACUGUGACACGGUCCAGACUCCUACGGGAGGCAGCAGUGGGGAAUAUUGGACAAUGGGCGCAAGCCUGAUCCAGCCAUGCCGCGUGUGUGAAGAAGGCCUUCGGGUUGUAAAGCACUUUCAGUAGGGAGGAAGCGUUGUGUGUUAAUAGUACACAGCGUUGACGUUACCUACAGAAGAAGCACCGGCUAACUCUGUGCCAGCCGCCGCUGUAACAC